CAGCCGCGGUAAUACAGAGGGUGCGAGCGUUAAUCGGAUUUACUGGGCGUAAAGCGUGCGUAGGCGGCUUCUUAAGUCGGAUGUGAAAUCCCUGAGCUUAACUUAGGAAUUGCAUUCGAUACUGGGAAGCUAGAGUAUGGGAGAGGAUGGUAGAAUUCCAGGUGUAGCGGUGAAAUGCGUAGAGAUCUGGAGGAAUACCGAUGGCGAAGGCAGCCAUCUGGCCUAAUACUGACGCUGAGGUACGAAAGCAUGGGGAGCAAACAGGAUUAGAUACCCCUGUAGUCCCUGUCUCUUAUACACU
rnacentral:rRNA from 1 species